rnacentral:rRNA from 1 species
UACAGGGGGUGCAAACGUUGCUCGGAAUCAUUGGGCGUAAAGCGCACGUAGGCGGUCUGUUAUGUCGGAUGUGAAAGCCCUCGGCUCAACUGAGGAAGUGCAUCCGAAACUGGCAGGCUAGAGUACUAAAGAGGGUCGCGGAAUUCCCGGUGUAGAGGUGAAAUUCGUAGAUAUUGGGAGGAACACCAGUGGCGAAGGCGGCUACCUGGACCGGUGCUGACGCUGAUGCGCGAAAGCGUGGGGAGCAAACAGG